GACGAACGCUGGCGGCGUGCUUAACACAUGCAAGUCGAACGGAAAGGCCCUGCUUUUGUGGGGUGCUCGAGUGGCGAACGGGUGAGUAACACGUGAGUAACCUGCCCUUGACUUUGGGAUAACUUCAGGAAACUGGGGCUAAUACCGGAUAGGAGCUCCUGCUGCAUGGUGGGGGUUGGAAAGUUUCGGCGGUUGGGGAUGGACUCGCGGCUUAUCAGCUUGUUGGUGGGGUAGUGGCUUACCAAGGCUUUGACGGGUAGCCGGCCUGAGAGGGUGACCGGCCACAUUGGGACUGAGAUACGGCCCAGACUCCCACGGGAGGCAGCAGUGGGGAAUAUUGCGCAAUGGGCGGAAGCCUGAUGCAGCAACGCCGCGUGCGGGAUGACGGCCUUCGGGUUGUAAACCGCUUUCGCCUGUGACGAAGCGUGAGUGACGGUAAUGGGUAAAGAAGCACCGGCUAACUACGUGCCAGCAGCCGCGGUGAUACGUAGGGUGCGAGCGUUGUCCGGAUUUAUUGGGCGUAAAGGGCUCGUAGGUGGUUGAUCGCGUCGGAAGUGUAAUCUUGGGGCUUAACCCUGAGCGUGCUUUCGAUACGGGUUGACUUGAGGAAGGUAGGGGAGAAUGGAAUUCCUGGUGGAGCGGUGGAAUGCGCAGAUAUCAGGAGGAACACCAGUGGCGAAGGCGGUUCUCUGGGCCUUUCCUGACGCUGAGGAGCGAAAGCGUGGGGAGCGAACAGGCUUAGAUACCCUGGUAGUCCACGCUGUAAACGGUGGGUACUAGGUGUGGGGUCCAUUCCACGGGUUCCGUGCCGUAGCUAACGCUUUAAGUACCCCGCCUGGGGAGUACGGCCGCAAGGCUAAAACUCAAAGGAAUUGACGGGGCCCCGCACAAGCGGCGGAGCAUGCGGAUUAAUUCGAUGCAACGCGUAGAACCUUACCUGGGUUUGACAUGGAUCGGGAGUGCUCAGAGAUGGGUGUGCCUCUUUUGGGGUCGGUUCACAGGUGGUGCAUGGCUGUCGUCAGCUCGUGUCGUGAGAUGUUGGGUUAAGUCCCGCAACGAGCGCAACCCUUGUUCACUGUUGCCAGCACGUUAUGGUGGGGACUCAGUGGAGACCGCCGGGGUCAACUCGGAGGAAGGUGGGGAUGACGUCAAGUCAUCAUGCCCCUUAUGUCCAGGGCUUCACGCAUGCUACAAUGGCUGGUACAGAGAGUGGCGAGCCUGUGAGGGUGAGCGAAUCUCGGAAAGCCGGUCUCAGUUCGGAUUGGGGUCUGCAACUCGACCUCAUGAAGUCGGAGUCGCUAGUAAUCGCAGAUCAGCAACGCUGCGGUGAAUACGUUCCCGGG
rnacentral:rRNA from 1 species